GACGAACGCUGGCGGCGUGCUUAACACAUGCAAGUCGAACGGAAAGGCCCUGCUUUUGUGGGGUUCUCGAGUGGCGAACGGGUGAGUAACACGUGAGUAACCUGCCCUUGACUUUGGGAUAACUUCAGGAAACUGGGGCUAAUACCGGAUAGGAGCUCCUGCUGCAUGGUGGGGGUUGGAAAGUUUCGGCGGUUGGGGAUGGACUCGCGGCUUAUCAGCUUGUUGGUGGGGUAGUGGCUUACCAAGGCUUUGACGGGUAGCCGGCCUGAGAGGGUGACCGGCCACAAGGGGACUGAGAGAGGGCGCAGAAGCCUACGGGAGGCAGCAGGGGGGAAUAUUGCACAAUGGGCGGAAGCCUGAGGCAGCAGCGCUGCGUUCGUGAUGACGGGCUACGGGGGGAAAACAGCUGUCGCCGGUGACGAAGCGUGAGUGACGGUAAUGGGUAAAGAAGCACCGGCUAACUACGUG
rnacentral:rRNA from 1 species